rnacentral:misc_RNA from 1 species
GAAAUGCGAUAAGUAAUGUGAAUUGCAGAAUUCAGUGAAUCAUCGAAUCUUUGAACGCACAUUGCGCCCCUUGGCAUUCCGAAGGGCAUGCCUGUUCGAGCGUCAUGAUCAAAUCUCAAGCCUGGCUUGGUAUUGGGUUUUCGUCUCUCUUGUCUUUGUACAUGUAGUGACGUGCCUGAAAGUCAAUGGCGGUGCCUCAAUAGACUCAAGCGUAGCAGACUGACUCUCGCUUUGGAGAACUUUUGUAGUCCUGUCAACAAAAUAAACAAGUUGGACCUCGGAUCAGGUAGGGAUACCCGCUGAACUUAA